rnacentral:tRNA from 1 species
CGGUCUNGAAAACCGGUGCGCGG